UAAAAGACGAGCAGCAGCAGCAACAAAAAAACAUUGCCCUUGUUGGAUCUCUGGUCCACGCUCUAGUGGAUGGUGUUGAACAGAAUCGAAUAUAUCGAUUGAAGCGCACACGCACAGGACGAAGCUUCUGAAAAGGACACACCGUUUACAUUUGACUUAGGUGGGUCGAUGUGCGCCCCACCCAACACUGCCCCGUGAGAACACCUUUUCAACACAUAGACACGGUGAAAGUUGAUGAAAUGCAGCUUACCUGGUGAGCAUUGUUGAGUUGCGAUCACUUCGUCUAAACAUUUCUAAACCGCGGAUGUACUCCUUUUUGCUACCAAAACCCACCUAAACCCGGUUCUUCUUGUACAGAGCACCGUGUGUGCUGACCACCAUCUUCUGCCUCACUUGACUUUCUGGGAUUGCUGUGUGAAGUGUUUUGAUAACAGCGGUACCGGAGGAUGACAGCCAAAACCAGGCGGCAAACGGAGAAAAACAGAAACACAGCCAGUUCGAAACGAGUGAAUUAAAUAACAUUUAAAUAUGCAAAAGCACGUUCCCAUUUGUUGCUACGGCAAAUAAUAAUACGGCAUCCGGGUUGCACGGUUUGUGAGCAUUAUCCAAACGCCGCUGCUGCCAAGCCAAGCUGCCAAGCGUGUGGUGGAAAGUGUAAUUUUCCACCACUCGGAAAACUGUCGCACCGGGUUUCGGAUGAGUGGCAAAAAGAGUGCUGAACCGUACAGAUUGAAUAAUGAUAGAGUUGAGG